GUCGAGCGGACAGAAGGGAGCUUGCUCCCGGAUGUUAGCGGCGGACGGGUGAGUAACACGUGGGUAACCUGCCUGUAAGACUGGGAUAACUCCGGGAAACCGGAGCUAAUACCGGAUAGUUCCUUGAACCGCAUGGUUCAAGGAUGAAAGACGGUUUCGGCUGUCACUUACAGAUGGACCCGCGGCGCAUUAGCUAGUUGGUGGGGUAAUGGCUCACCAAGGCGACGAUGCGUAGCCGACCUGAGAGGGUGAUCGGCCACACUGGGACUGAGACACGGCCCAGACUCCUACGGGAGGCAGCAGUAGGGAAUCUUCCGCAAUGGACGAAAGUCUGACGGAGCAACGCCGCGUGAGUGAUGAAGGUUUUCGGAUCGUAAAGCUCUGUUGUUAGGGAAGAACAAGUGCGAGAGUAACUGCUCGCACCUUGACGGUACCUAACCAGAAAGCCACGGCUAACUACGUGCCAGCAGCCGCGGUAAUACGUAGGUGGCAAGCGUUGUCCGGAAUUAUUGGGCGUAAAGGGCUCGCAGGCGGUUUCUUAAGUCUGAUGUGAAAGCCCCCGGCUCAACCGGGG
rnacentral:rRNA from 1 species